GGGAUAUCGUGACAUAUCGGGGUCAUUGGGGUCACUGGGGACACGUCAGGACGGCCGGGUGACUCCGGGGGUCCCCUCUGUUGCCGCCUGGGCGGUUCCUGGCACCUGGUGGGCGUGGCCAGCUGGGGCGUGGCCUGCGG
rnacentral:lncRNA from 1 species